rnacentral:rRNA from 1 species
UGGGGAAUAUUGGACAAUGGACCAAGAGUCUGAUCCGGCAAUUCUGUGUGCACGAUGACGUUUUUCGGAAUGUAAAGUGCUUUCAGUUGGGAAGAAAAAAAUGACGGUACCAACAGAAGAAGUGACGGCUAAAUACGUGCCAGCAGCCGCGGUAAUACGUAUGUCACAAGCGUUAUCCGGAUUUAUUGGGCGUAAAGCGCGUCUAGGUGGUUAUGUAAGUCUGAUGUGAAAAUGCAGGGCUCAACUCUGUAUUGCGUUGGAAACUGUGUAACUAGAGUACUGGAGAGGUAAGCGGAACUACAAGUGUAGAGGUGAAAUUCGUAGAUAUUUGUAGGAAUGCCGAUGGGGAAGCCAGCUUACUGGACAGAUACUGACGCUGAAGCGCGAAAGCGUGGGUAGCAAACAGGAUUAGAUACCCUGGUAGUCCACGCCGUAAACGAUGAUUACUAGGUGUUGGGGGUCGAACCUCAGCGCCCAAGCAAACGCGAUAAGUAAUCCGCCUGGGGAGUACGUACGCAAGUAUG